rnacentral:lncRNA from 1 species
CACGCGGUCGUGGCAGGCUCUAACAGGCUGCAGAGAUGAGGGAAGCAGGCAGGAAGCUCAGAAGAAAGCCAAUCGAUGACCCUUAGAAGGAACCAGCACGAGGUUGCCUUCUAAUUCACGUGUCUCAUCAUUUCACUGAAGAUGUAUGGAACGCUUCCCCCUUUCAAAGUGUUAAGUACUUUGCUGUCAGCAUCACCAUCACAGCCUGCGAACUCGACACUAAAGAGAGAGAAGUGGAAAAGGCAAAUUUUGGAGAAAAUAAGCAGAAGGCAUGGGGACUGGAAGUUGUGAGGUACGAUGAGGCUUUUGCUGAUACAGGAAUGAUGUCCUCACCCACUGGGCCAUAGGAGUGGCCUCCCAGGAUCAAAGAACAUGGGGAGCCAGCACUGUAUUUUGAAUCAGUAAAUUGUCACAGUUUUUUAUUGGCUGGACCCAGGAAAGCAUGAAACUGGCUGGAAUUGCAGGAGAUAUUUGAGUUAGACACGUCAGAGGACUUCCUGGCCUGA